rnacentral:misc_RNA from 1 species
GAUGAAGAACGUAGCGAAAUGCGAUAAGUAAUGCGAAUUGCAGAAUUCAGUGAGUCAUCGAAUCUUUGAACGCACAUUGCGCCCUGUGGUAUUCCGCAGGGCAUGCCUGUUCGAGCGUCAUUUCAACCCUCAAGCUCUGCUUGGUGUUGGGCCCUGCCCGCUGCGGCCGGCCCUAAAGACAGUGGCGGUGCCGCCUGGCCCUGAGCGUAGUACAUCUCUCGCUCCAGUGCCCGGUGGUAGCCUGCCAGAACCCCAACUCUCGUGGUUGACCUCGGAUCAGGUAGGGAAACCCGCUGAACUUAAGCAUAUCAAUAAGCGGAGGA